rnacentral:rRNA from 1 species
GAUGAACGCUGGCGGCGUGCCUAAUACAUGCGAGUCGAGCGAACAGAUGAGGAGCUUGCUCCUCUGACGUUAGCGGCGGACGGGUGAGUAACACGUGGAUAACCUACCUAUAAGACUGGGAUAACUUCGGGAAACCGGAGCUAAUACCGGAUAAUAUAUUGAACCGCAUGGUUCAAUAGUGAAAGGCGGUUUUGCUGUCACUUAUAGAUGGAUCCGCGCCGCAUUAGCUAGUUGGUAAGGUAACGGCUUACCAAGGCAACGAUGCGUAGCCGACCUGAGAGGGUGAUCGGCCACACUGGAACUGAGACACGGUCCAGACUCCUACGGGAGGCAGCAGUAGGGAAUCUUCCGCAAUGGGCGAAAGCCUGACGGAGCAACGCCGCGUGAGUGAUGAAGGUCUUCGGAUCGUAAAACUCUGUUAUUAGGGAAGAACAAAUGUGUAAGUAACUAUGCACGUCUUGACGGUACCUAAUCAGAAAGCCACGGCUAACUACGUG